UACGUGGGGGGCAAGCGUUGUCCGGAUUUAUUGGGCGUAAAGAGCGUGUAGGCGGCCAUACAGGUCCGUUGUGAAAACUGGAGGCUUAACCUCCAGACGUCGAUGGAAACCGUAUGGCUAGAGUCCGGAAGAGGAGAGUGGAAUUCCUGGUGUAGCGGUGAAAUGCGCAGAUAUCAGGAAGAACACCCGUGGCGAAGGCGGCUCUCUGGGACGGUACUGACGCUGAGACGCGAAAGCGUGGGGAGCAAACAGG
rnacentral:rRNA from 1 species